rnacentral:pre_miRNA from 1 species
GUAAUACUCCCUCCGUCCGGAAAUACUUGUCCUAGAGAUGAAUGUACAUUCAUUAUAUUCAAUUUUAGGACAAGUAUUUCCGGACGGAGGGAGUAUAAC